rnacentral:piRNA from 1 species
CAGUACAGAGUUUGUCAACAAUUGAGGGCA